rnacentral:rRNA from 1 species
UACGGAGGGGACUAGCGUUGUUCGGAAUUACUGGGCGUAAAGCGCACGUAGGCGGAUUUGUAAGUCAGGGGUGAAAUCCCGAGGCUCAACUUCGGAAUUGCCUUUGAAACGGGGUUGCUAGAGUCCGAGAGAGGAUGGCGGAAUUCCUAGUGUAGAGGUGAAAUUCGUAGAUAUUAGGAAGAACACCAGUGGCGAAGGCGGCCAUCUGGCUCGGUACUGACGCUCAGGCGCGAAAGCGUGGGGAGCAAACAGG